ACGCUGGCGGCAGGCUUAACACAUGCAAGUCGAACGGUAACAGGGAUUAGCUUGCUAAUUUGCUGACGAGUGGCGGACGGGUGAGUAAUGCUUGGGAAUCUGGCUUAUGGAGGGGGAUAACUACGGGAAACUGUAGCUAAUACCGCGUAAUAUCGGAAGAUUAAAGGGUGGGACUUUCGAGCCACCUGCCAUAAGAUGAGCCCAAGUGGGAUUAGGUAGUUGGUUAGGUAAAGGCUGACCAAGCCGACGAUCUCUAGCUGGUCUGAGAGGAUGACCAGCCACACUGGAACUGAGACACGGUCCAGACUCCUACGGGAGGCAGCAGUGGGGAAUAUUGCACAAUGGGGGGAACCCUGAUGCAGCCAUGCCGCGUGAAUGAAGAAGGCCUUCGGGUUGUAAAGUUCUUUCGGUGACGAGGAAGGUUGAUAGGUUAAUAGCCUAUCAAAUUGACGUUAAUCACAGAAGAAGCACCGGCUAACUCCGUGCCAGCAGCCGCGGUAAUACGGGGGGUGCGAGUGUUAAUCGGAAUAACUGGGCGUAAAGGGCACGCAGGCGGUGACUUAAGUGAGAUGUGAAAGCCCCGAGCUUAACUUGGGAAUUGCAUUUCAUACUGGGUCGCUAGAGUACUUUAGGGAGGGGUAGAAUUCCACGUGUAGCGGUGAAAUGCGUAGAGAUGUGGAGGAAUACCGAAGGCGAAGGCAGCCCCUUGGGAAUGUACUGACGCUCAUGUGCGAAAGCGUGGGGAGCAAACAGGAUUAGAUACCCUGGUAGUCCACGCUGUAAACGAUGUCGAUUUGGGGAUUGGGCUUUGAGCUUGGUGCCCGUAGCUAACGUGAUAAAUCGACCGCCUGGGGAGUACGGCCGCAAGGUUAAAACUCAAAUGAAUUGACGGGGGCCCGCACAAGCGGUGGAGC
rnacentral:rRNA from 1 species